rnacentral:rRNA from 1 species
GUAAAGUACUUUCAGCAGUGAGGAAGGUGGGUAUGGUUAAUAGCAUACUCAUUUGACGUUAGCUGCAGAAGAAAGCACCGGCUAACUCCGUGCCAGCAGCCGCGGUAAUACGGAGGGUGCGAGCGUUAAUCGGAAUUACUGGGCGUAAAGCGCAUGCAGGUGGUUUGUUAAGUUCAGAUGUGAAAGACCCGGGGCGUCAACCUCGGAAUUGCAUUUGAAACUAGGCAAACUAGAGUACUGUAGAGGGGGGUAGGAAUUUCAGGUGUAGCGGUGAAAUAGCGUAGAGAUCUGAAGGAAUACCGGUGGCGAAGGCGGCCCCCUCGGACAGAUACUGACACUCAGAUGCGAAAGCGUGGGGAGCAAACAGGAUUAGAUACCCUGGUAG